GCGAGAGUGGCGGAAGGGAAGACGCGCUGGACUUAGGAUCCAGUGGGCGCAGGCCCGUGUGGGUUCAAAUCCCACCUCUCGCACCA
rnacentral:tRNA from 1 species